UCAGUAGCUUCACUAGCUAGUACCUUUAGCUGUCUAUUGGGUACAUAUUAUAGUGGAUUUUAGCCAAAUGAAUUGCAGGGUAUUAUAGUCAUUCAUCACGACAAUUGAUUAAUAUCUCCCUCUACAGAUCUGUUCUUCCCCAAUUUUCAAUGUAGCAACUCAAACCCUAGCUCAAUCACUAUGGCAUCUUCUUCUUUUGCCAGUGUUUCAGCACUAAAAUCAACUCAUUAUGUGAUGGUUGAAUCAGGGAGCAUUAAGCGGAUUGUUGACCCAAUUCCUUUAUUAUGUAAUUUUCUUUUAUCAGGUUCCCAAGCUGUUGUGGGUAUAUAUGCUCAUUUACAGCAAGUGAAAUCCUUGCUAUGGAUGGAAAUUAAUGGUACUCGAAUGGUUGGUAUCUGGGUAUGGGAGGAGUAGGAAAGACGAUAUUUAUAAGAGCCAUUUGGAUGGCUUCUCUGAUCAGGGCAUUCUGGUUGGUUUGGUAAUGGCAGUAGAAUUACCAUAACAACUAGAGACAGUCAUUUGAUAGGGAAGAAUGAAGAAGUAUAUGAAGUGACUACACUUCGGUGUCUGCACAAAUAGCUUUGAGUGUAGCCAUGGAUUUUUUUAUAAGAGUUUUCAACAAAUUUAGCAAGAAAUCUCGGUAGUAGAAGAUGAAAUAGUAGAAGAAGAGAAGCUCGUUAGUGCAAAGGCUGGGUCUGUUCUGGGAGCAUUUGCCUAAAUAUGGUGCAAGAGAUCCGGAACCACAUUCACGGUCUGGAAGAGAGGAAGCUCCAAGCGAGUUGCAUGCCCCUGAUAAGGAGCAUCGACGCAAAAACUGAGUCAAAGUGAGAGGAGGUGACCCAAUUGGUCUGCUAUUAUUAUAGGCCCUCCACCACUGCUUGGCUAGCCCAAUCAUAUGAAAAGUGGUAUAAUGACAUUGUGGGAUUCUACCAAUUCCAAGUUGUGCAACGUCUUGUGACAAUUUAAAAUAAGCUACGGUGGAUUGGAGCCUAUAGAGCAAGAGAUAUUUCUAGAUUUAGUAUGUUUCUUUCGAGGGUAUGGUUCCUUGAGAGUUGUGGAUUUGAACCUACUAUCGGAUUAAGUAUCCUAAUUGAAAAAUCUCUUGUGUUCGUCUCUGAAGAAUAUACAAUUCAAAUGUAUGAAUUGAUACAAGAUAUGGGUAAAUAUGCAGUUAAUAUGAAAAAUGAUCCUGGAGGACAUAACAGACUAUGGCGCGGUGAAGAUUUGGAAGACGUGAUGAUCAACAGUACAGUGACUAAAGCAAUAGAGGCAAUCUGGAUUCGUUAUCCUCCAAACCUAUGUUUUAGCAAAGACACCAUGAAAAAUAUGAAAAGACAUGGUAUAUUACGCAUAGAUAAUGUGAUGACUGUUUGAUCCAUGAUGGCUUAAUAGAUAAUGCGAUGGAUGUUAUGAGUUGCCAUGAUAGCUCUAUCGGUUAUUUGUCCAACAACUUGUGUUGGUCUGUCGGGGAUUGCUAUCCUUUGGGACCGCUUCCAU